GAGGGAUGGCCUUUGAGAAGGGCCAUUUCACCUGGAGCUGUUCUCUCAGCAGAGCAAGGUGAUGGGGAUCUUCUUGCAUUGGUCUUCUGUUUCUGGAGCGCAUCCUGACAGCCUUUGUCAUCCAGAGCUUUCCUGUCUGUUCCCAAGAGGAGUGAUAGCCACAACAUGGAACGACUCCUUGGCGUACAUGCCAAUGCAUCCCACCACGCAGAAGUCAGCAGUCUGCGGAACCUGAUAGCCGUUGUAAAUAAAUGCAAACAGUUGGAAAAUGAGCUCUACUAAACCACAAGAAUCACAGCAUACGUUGAAAUGAAAUUUACCUUCUCUUCCAACAAACUGCUGAUUGACCGAGAGGAAGAUGUGGAUUGUCCAGCAGCAGUCACCAGAGCAGCAGGAGGUGUAACAGUCAUCAUCUGCUGGUGCUGCUGAAUCUGCUGACGGAGCCUUUUUGUGUAGCCAGUUCCAUUUUUGAAGUUGUUUACAGCCUGGAGGCAGAAAAGAAUUUACGAAAAGGUAAUAUGAAACUUCAGUAGAUACAUGAACAAAGGCCUCCACAGCGUAAAAUUACUUGUGUAUUUCUGUACAGAUGUAUCAACACAUCACUUUAAACACUGAUGUUGAUGACUGGUAACUCCGAGUGUCUGUAUUCAAAGUACUUCAGUGUUAACACGAAAUUUGAAAGUGAGCAAUCAUGUUAAACAAAAGUGUCAUCUGAAUUUACCAGGUUGUCUCUAAAGAGUUGUAAG